AAAAAAAAAAAACCCUCAAUGAGAGAGAAACUAGGGAAAUAAUACCUUUUACAACAGCAUCCAAAAAACCUGAAAUAUCUAGGAAUCAAUCUCACAAUGGAUGUAAAAAACCUCUACACUGAAAACUACAGUACACUGAAAAAGGAGAUUGGAAGGAUACUAGAAAAUGGAGAGAUAUCACGGGCUCUUGGGUGAGAAGAACCAAUGGAGUAGAAAUGGCCAUACUUCAAAACAGUUAUACGGAUUCAGUGCAAUCCAAUCAAAAUUCCAACAGCAAUACCUCACAGCAUUAGAGAGAACAAUCCUAAAAUUCUCUGGAACCAGAGAGACCUAGAGUAGCAAAGGCAAUGGAGUAGCGAUAAGAGACAAGGCAGGGGCAUCACAACCCCUGACUUGAAUUAUACUACAAAGCUACUAAGACCCGUUUGAAAUAGAAAUGAACAUAGGGGCUGAGGAUUUAGCUCAGCAGCCUUGCAAGGGGGCAGUCGUGAGUUCGAUCCCUGGUACCAAAAAAAAAAAGAAAAAGAGAAAAAAAGAAAUGAAAAGGAAGCUUUGGAGAAACCAGUUAGACUGUUUUACAUGAAAAGUAGUCAUUCUUUAAUAAUAAUGAAAUAAGACAACCAUUAAAUUGUUGCUUUUUUUUUUUUUUUUGAGAAGCACUUUCACUAUGCUGCCCAGACUAGCCUCAAAUCCAAGGCUCAAAGCCCAGUAUGGUGGCGCACACCUGUGAUGCCAGUAUUUGGGAGGAUGAGACAGGAGGAUCACUGUUAGCACAAGGCUAGCCUGGGCUACAUAGUGAAUUCCAGGCCAACCUGAAUUACGUAGUGAAACCCUGUUUCAGAAAGACAAAAGAAUCCUGGACUCAAGUGAUCCUCCUGCUUCAGCCUUUAAAUACAUUUUCUUGUUUUGUUCUGAGACAGAGUCUCACCUUGUAGCCCAUGCUGGCCUGGAACACACAGCAGUCCUCCUGCCUCAGCCUCUCAGUGCUAAGAUUACAGGUGUGUGCUACCACACCUGGCUAAGAGCUCACUUUUUAAACAGUUAGAAGAAAUCCUUCUAGAAAGGGACAUUCAAAAUGGACUGCAGGCGACAGAGAGAGAGAAAGCUUGUGGAUCUACAGAGGAGGGGCAAAGGAGGCCAUGCCAAGGCAAAGGACAACAGGAAGCCCUGUCCGUUCCAGGGCCACCUUCCCAGAGAGAGCUUCUAAAACAGCCCUACCUAGCUUUAAGACGGCCCUCCUCACACACCCCAAGCGUCCUUUUUCCUUUAAGCUUUAUACUCAGUUUGUCUUUCAAGAGAGGCCACAUCUUAGUCUCGUCACUGCCUGUUUCCCUCAUUUGCAGCUUAGCUCCGUGAGAGAAGGGAUUUGUGUCUAUCUUGGUCACUGCUGCCUACUGCCUGGCACAUGCUAAUGUGCUGCUCAGUGAAUGUUUGUUGAAUGAAUCGAGGACCAUUCUGCCCACCAAGCCUCGACAGAUCACGCCCAAGGCCAGGGCCCCGCAGGCUCACUUGUCUUCCCAACACCGGCAAGCUACCCUGGAGGAGGCAGCACCAGCCCAGGCAUCAUCAGUUUCCAACCCACAGCAGGUUCUUCCCCAGGGCCCGGCCUGGAACUGAAUUACCCAGAGCCUCUGACUUCCUGUCCAGCAGAGCGUGGCAAGGCUCAGAAUUUCCACCCCAGCCCCAGUGCCACAGGGGACCCCUGGGCCCGCUGUGCCCACACAGUACUGCCCAGUGGGCCCAGGCAGGACAGGAGAGCAAGAGAAGGAGCAAGAGGAACAGGGAGAUGCGGUCCAGAAACCCAGGUGCGGGCGGCGGGCGGGACCCAGGAAGGUCCCCUUUCCGGGUGACUGGCAGAGAAAUAACAGGAAGAGCAGGGAUCACGGGUGACUGAGGCCCAGCCCCCUUCCCAGCCUACUCUCCUGCCUGGUGUCAUGCUCACCAAAACGCCGUCCCUCCCAAUCCCCAACCAUCAGGCGGGACCGGCCAGGCCGAACCAUCCCAGUCCUGGGCCCUAAGCCUCGUGUUGUCCAGCCCCGGACUCCUUCCAGCUCCUGUGAAACUGACCACCCUAGGUCCCUGCUUCAGCGAUCACUGAAUUAAAACUGAAACACAAAGCUUCAGGAAAAGCAGGGGCGCACCUGCUGAUCCAGGGGUUCAGGCGGGUCCAGGCACAACCGCAGGAGGCCGCUUGGGAGGACUCGCUCAGGUGGCCAGCUAUCAGGUCACAGCUCACUCCUGGUUUCCUGGUGUGGCUUGAACGCUUGGACCUAGAGGGACAGUCCUGGCCAGGGGAAGCUCUGCUGAACGCCAAGCACAUGAAAUCUGGGGACCUAAUGGAGCCACAGCACACCCACUGUGUGCAGGCUCCGUAUGAAAAGCAAGACAGAUAAAAUUCCCUGCUCCUCAGAACAUGUGAGAGGAGACCCAGACAAGUUAUCAAGGUAAAUAAGACAAACGGCCCCCAGUCCACCUGGUGCCACAUGCAAAGGAGGAAGUAAAUGCCAGGGGAAUCGUGGGCGGGGCAUAAACCACUUAACACGGACCCCUGAGAUGGGAAGUCACUCCUAGAGGUGGCAUGGGCACAGUGAGCUGGAACUGACCUCAGUUUGCCUCUGUGGCUUUGCACCCCACUCUCGCCCCAGUGAGCCGCUGGUACACAGAGAAAGGGAGGGGAGGAGGAAACCCCAGCCCAGGCAGGGCUGCCGGGCGCAGCUGUUCAGGUUCUGCACUGCACAUCCCCAAGAGCGUCAUUCACACUGUGAUGUAGAUACUGCCCCUGCCUGAAGUCUAUAGUCAAAGAGGGUGCAGGAGUCACAGAUCUUCAGUGGCCUGGGUCACACAGGCAGUCCCAGGAAGUGAGUUCCCUCUGCUAGGUCUAUUCUAUGUAAUUCUUUUCCCACUUGACAAAGUGCAGUGGCCCGGGCAGUCCCUGGGCUAGCACUAUCCCCAUCUCCUGAGCACUUGCCCGAAGUGCGGUCUGAGGCCCAUGCCUGAGGUCCCGACUGAGACAUCGUUAUCUGGAUCUGUGUCGGCUUUUGCGACACAGGGAGCCUCAGGAGGACUGAGGUGGAGGAAGGACCUGGCCUUGGGUCCAGCUCUGACCGGCACUCCUUAAAAGAAGGUAAGAGAGUAAACAAAGUUGGGGCCAGGGAUGUAGCUCAGCAGCACAACACCUGCCUGGCAAGCACAAAGUCCUGAGUGUGACUCCUGGGACCCAAAAAAAGGAAGGAAAAAAAAGGGGUUCAGUAAAGUGAACGCUGAUCCAGGUGUGGUGGUACAUGCCUGGCAUCCCAGCAUUUGGGAGGCUGAGGCAGGAGGACUGCUGCAAGUUCGAGGCCAGCUUGGACUACAAAACUGAAUAGUGAACUGAAAUGCAUAGUGAGACCCUGUCUCAAAAAGAUAAAAAGUAAAAAUAAAAAAGUAAAUUAGGGGGUCAGUGCCUCCAAGGGGGCCAUGAAGGGAAAGGGUUGGUAUUUUUCCCUUUUUUUUUUUUUUUUGAGACAAAGUCUCACUAUGUAGCCCAGGCUGGCUUUGAACUCACGGCGAUCCACCUGCCUCAGCCUCCUCAGUGCUGGGAUGACAGCACUGCCACCAUGCCAGGCUGUGCUUGUUUUUGGUCUGGGUUUUGGUUUUCUUCAAUGAUGUGGGGCAAACCAAGGCCUCUUAUGUGUCAGGUAAGCACAGAGCCACGGCCUCAUCCUUCUUUUUUUUUUUUUUCCCCCUGUCUUUUUCUUUUUUAUCGGUACCGGGGAUCAAACUCACGACUGCCUGCUUGCAAGGCAGGCGCUUAUGCUGCUGAGCUAAAUCCCAGCCCCCUCAUCCUUCUCUUUACUUGUUUUGAAACAGGGUCUCACACUGAGUUUCAGUGAGGUCUAAAGUGUCCCCUGAAAGCCUCCUGUGUCCAGAAGUGAGCCUUCCCAGGGAUGCGCGCAGGGCACUGCACUCACAGUGGACCCGUCUGAGGCUGAGCUCAGGACCUGGGGCUCCAUGAGGAGCUGGGCCCAGCGGGAGGGGUUCCAGGGUGGGGCCAGGGGCUGUGCCCUUGCCCCCACGGCUCCUUCUCUCAGCUCCUGGCUGCUGUCCUCCAUCAGGGCCUUCUGCCUCCUCCUUUCUGCUCUGGAAACAACUGACCAGAGGCUGAGUCCCUAAGCCCAAACCAAGCUCUCCUCCAUGAAACUGCAGGUGGCAGACACUGUGUCCCUGAGACAGGAGAGUGACCAAGACAUCUCCCCACUCUGGCAUUCCCAGCCAGCCCACACCAAACAGGUCUACUGGAGACACAUUAAAGUGCCACCACAGUCCCCUCUCCCCAGGGUCCCUUCUAUCCUGGGCCAGGCCUUGUCAUCAGGGGGUGACUAAGGGACAUCCACAGUCUGCACCGCAGUGCAGGGUGGUGGCUCAGCAGUCCUUCUGGAGGGAGGUUAGGGAUCUGUUCCUGAAGGCACAGCAAUGACAGGGCCACACAGGAACACAGCCCUCCCUCCUCAUCCCUAUCUGUCCCAGGCAGGUCACAGGGAGGCGUGGGAUGUCAUCCCUUGCUAUUCAGGGAUGUGCACAAAGCUGGGGCAGCUGGAGGGCGUGUCAGUUCCCCCCGAUUAAAUUUAGAUAUACAACUUGAGUGUGGUGGAGUACAUCUGUCAUCCCAGCACUCAGGAGGCUGAGGCAGGAAGAUUGCCUCGACACAGUUAAGUUCAAGGCUUGCAUGGACUAUAAAUCGAGACCCUGUCUCAAGAGACCCAAUGAAUGAAUAGAGUUUAACCCAGCCUUCCUGCAUACCAGACCCCAGAACCCACUCAAAGCCCAGGGUGCAACAGGUUCUCCACCUCCUGGGAUACCUACAGCUCCAGUCAUGCAUCCAUAGCUGCAAAGAGGGACCUGCCCCUGGAUCCUCCCAAGUUCCUUGCUCUAAAGAUAGCACCCCAAUAAGGCUGGGGAGGACCCAGGAUAUCUCAGGCCUCAGGCGCACAUCCAGCCCAGGCUCGCCUUCCCUGGCUGCUGAAGACAGCUGUGCAGAUCCUGCUAGGACAAGGGAUCCCAGCACAAAGUAGAGGAGGGCAGGGGGAGGCGAGAUGAGAACCGUGGCCUUUCGUGUGGAGACUUAGCCGUGGAAGCAACUUCCCUGCAAGGACCCAGGUUGGAGCUAAGCUCGGGCCUACUGACUUUUCUGAACCCCUCAUUCUACACCCCUCCCCAAAACCAAAAACCAUGCACUACUUCCAUGAGUAAAUUUUAAUGGCUUUUGUGGAUGGUGGCAACAGCAGCGAGGGGGAUGUGGAGCUGGCCCCACAUCUGGAGCAAAGGGCCUCCUGUAGGCCUAGCUGUUCUCUUCCCACUGGACUGAGGCCACAAAGGUGCGGAUUUCCAUGGGCUGCAGUGUGAUGGAGGAGGGGUCCAGCCUGGGCACAGCAGGGCGGGAGAUGGGAUCUGGCAGAGAGGGGUAGAGAAUGAGGGGUGUGGAUUCCCUCAGCCUCACCCCAUUAUGGUCCCUGCUCUGGGUCCAGACCUAGCCAUACACGCCCAAAUCUGUCCCCAGUACAGCAGACACAGCCCUUAAACCACUUCCCCAAUCUGAAUACCACCCUGAGAGCCCUAAAUUCUCUCCGAUUUCUUUUUGUUUUACUUGAGACAGGGUUUCACUAUGCAGUUCAGAUUGGGCUUGAAUUCAUUUUAUAGCCCAGGCUGGCCUCUAACUCACAGUGAUUCUCCUGCCUCAGCCUCCCAAGAGCUGGGAUUACAGUUGUGCACCACCAUAUCUAGAGUCUCCAAUUUCAAGGCACUGCCUUCAUCUCAAGCUGAUACCGGGUGUGACAAACCUCAUCCCAGAACUAGCCGUCUCCCAUCUUGUUCCUGGGAGUCACCAAACCUUGAAGUGCAUUGCAGGUUCACUGCAAUGGUUCAUCGAAUCCCCUAACACGGGUCAGGACACUGCCAGGCCUUCAAGCUCUGUACCAGCUCACAGCCCGCAUUCCCAUGCCUCACACAGAACCCCAGCUGCUGAGUCAGGCAAAGGCCUACGAGGUCCCCACCAAUCUCUGUUGUCCACUUGAGCCUAGAGGCGCUGGCCCGGAGCUGGUUGGCCGCCAGAGUGGUCUCCUGCAGGCGGGUGAUGGUGAAGGUGGAGAACAGGUCCUGCAGGGAGCGGGUGGGCCCGACUGAGUGCAGGGCAAAGCUGAACUGCACCUCUGGCCCUCUCUCUCCGCGCUUUCCCUCUGCUCCCUUCCCCCUUCUGCCCUCCUCACCUGCAGGUCCAAGGUUACAGGGAGACUCAGGUUGCGGCUGGAAUCUUCGCCUAGGGCAAACUGGUGCUCCAGACGCAGCAACAGUGUGUCCGGGCCCCAUCGGGCCAGAGUGAGCAGACGCACAGAGGGCGGCAGCUGCCUGCGCAGGCCUGAGAACUGCGGAGGGGGCGGGGCUCAGACUGGGAGGGUGGAACCUGGGCAGUGAGGGGCGGGGCUCAUGUGGGGAGGGCGGGGCCUGGACAAAGGGGCGGGACUAGAUUUUAGGGGCGGGGCUCAGCUGCCCGUAAUGACAACUAGGCUGUGGGGGCUGGAUUCAGCUCUCUGGUCCUGCCAUCCGUGUAGUAGGGGCUGGACUUAUCUAGGAACGUGGGUGUCAGGCAAGUGAAAGCUGUCCCUGGACCCAAUGCUACCAGGUCCAGGAUGCGAGACUGGGCUUGGCCUCCGUCCCUCUGCCACCCCUUUGGCCCUCACCUGUUUGCGCGGCACUGCCUCAUGGUGGUCAUGGUGGUAGGAGGGGCCCUGUCCUGGAGCCAGCACCAGCUGCGGGGCCAGCAGCUCCUUCUCAGCCAGCAGCCGGUGUUCUGCAGCCGCCUCGCGGGCCGUGUCCAGGAGCAAGAGGUGACGCCCACGCACCCACCCACCGGACCCAGGCUCUUGCAGCGCCUCCCCCACUCCGCGGCCAUCGUCUUUCAGCAGCCGUCGGUGAACCUGGGGGGCCGCGGGGCCAAAUGGAUGAGGGCGAGUGCUUGGGAGAAUUUCGGGAGAAAUCAAAGGGCGGGAAACUGAGGGUCUGGUAGGUGGACCUCAGGGAGGGUAGGAUCCAGCUGACAGAUGGAACUAGCCAGCGGAAGGCAAGCCCUUAACAGGGGCCUGGAUAGGGUGAAUCAGGGCCCAGAGAAGGCCUCAGGGAUCAGUUAAAAGGAGACCCACUGCUGGACAUUGGGGCCACAUCUAUAAUCCCAGCACUCAGGAGACUGAAGCAAGAGGCUCCUAAAUUCAAGUCCCACCUGGGCAAUUAGCAAGGUCCUGUCUCAAAAUUAAGUAAAUACAUUCACAGGGCUGGGAAGGUAGUUGCUGGGUUCAAUCCAACCACCAAAAAAAAGGUCAAACACAGUGUUCUCAGAUUAGUGUCCAGCAAGGGGCUAGAGCAGAAACUGGCUUGCAGGGCUGGGACCCACUCACCAUGAGCUCCAGAGAGCCGUCGCUCAUGCUGCUGCCCCCCUGGGAGCGGUCUGUCAGCACUGUCAGCUGCAUCUUCCCGUCCUGGGAGGCAGAGGUGCAGGGAAUGAGGGAAGGGGCCCUGCUAACCCUGCCCCAGGUGUCCGGGAAACACUGGGAUGCUGGGAAUAAAGGCUGUCCCCCCCCCCCCCGCGGAAUGGGGGGAGCCAUACCGUGAUAUAAAUGCGGCUGUUGACUGGGUAGUAGUUUCCGGCCACCGGUUCGGUCUGGUUCAGCUUCCAGGAAGGUCGAUAAUCCCGCCUGGGGUGGGGUGUGGUUGGGUCAAGUCAGGGUCCAGUGCCCACCCAGUCCUCGCACCCGCUCCUCCAACCAGCAGAUGCCCCUGCCCCUCUGCCCAGGGCCUCAGCGUCCCCACCUCCUCUCCAGGACCUCCCGGCCAUUGCUGUCAGUGAAGAAGACUCCGCCAGUUUCCAGGGGUGUGUCGAAGCGGCUGAUGAUCUCUUUUCCCCACUUGUCCCUGGGCCCAAAGGGACAGGUGUGAGCCUCACCUAACCCUAUGGCUCUGGCCCCUGCCCCAUCUCAGCCUGAGCCACUUACCCCACAGGUAUUGGCCCCACUGUCCACUCAAGCUCCAGAUGACGCUGACCAGAGUACAGGCGAACCACCUGGGAGCACCAGGCUGUAAAGUUCUGGUGGACCUCCUGUACCAGGGCUGUCUGCAGAAACACAGCCAGAGGAAUGUUACCACUAGGGGGCAGAGGACACCCCUGAAAACAUUCUCCUGCCUGAAGCUCCAGAAGGCCUAAGUCAGGGACAAUCCUGCUGACAACAUGGAAACCCGCCCACAUUUUCUUAGAUCUGGCCAUGUUUGUAGCAGCGUGAUUCCUAUUGGAAGGAGCCUAUAAACCCAACAGAGGAGUGGACAAAGAAGAUGUGGCAUUUACUAUUAUGGAGUACCAAUUUGCCAUAAAGAAUAAGCUUGAGGCUGGCCAUGCAGGCAUGUGCCUGUAAUGCCAGCACUCAGGAGGCUGAUGCAGGAGGAUCACUGGGAGUUCGAAACCACCCUCGGCUAGAAAGUGAACUCAAGGCCAGCUUGAAAUGCAGAGAGACCCUGUCUCAAAAAGUCAAAAAGCAGCAGCAGCAGCAGCAACAGGAGCUCGAGUCAUUUGGAGGAAAAUGAAUGCACCUUGAAACAAUAUUAUUAAGAAAAAUAAUAAAUACACAAGCUUAAAAUAAUGUGGUUUCUCUGUGAGAAAACCAGUUAGAUAAAGAAAGAACAAAAUUAAAGAUAAAUAAAAUGACCAGGGAGACAGAUCUUUUGCAAAUGGGAAAGGGACCAAGAGACAGACGGAGGGCAUGCAAAAAGAAUAAAGGUGUUAAGUACAAAUAACAGCUUGACACAGUACACCACAUACUACAAAUGUGUACUGAUAAAGACAAUACAUGCUUGUAGUCUACUAUCACCCCACCCCUGCGUUAGAAUGAGACUGAGCUUGGUACAUGACCACCUGGUACAAAGACUACACUGCCACUCUUUAGUAGCUAUGUGACAGUCUGCCCGACAGAAAAUACUCAGGAUGGUCUAAAUGAUGCUUCUUGGCCCUUUCCCUCUCCCACUGGUUCAAAUGGGGAUGUGAUAGCUGGAGCUCAAGCAGCCUCUUGGAACAUCAGGUGAAAGCCAAAUAAUGAAGAAGUUAGAGCAACAAGACAAAAGGGAGCUGGCUGCCUGCGGACCUGCUCGUCCUUCCUGGACGGCCCAACCAGACUUUCUGUUAGGCAGUUAAUUUGGGUAACUGUUGCAACAGGCCAAAGAACCCCAAUUCAGUGAUCCAGGGAUGCAGCUGUUCAUCUCAAAGGGACCCCAUCAAACAAAACAAGGCUCUUAAACCUGCACAAAUGGGAGUUAUUCUGAGCUCAGGGAAAAUGUCAAUAAAAGCCCUAGGAAACCACCAUUCCCUGUCUGAUGCAGUCUCAGAUCUGCACCCAAGUCUCCAAGAAGCAGUUCUUCCGUAUCCCCCUGAUAUAAAUGUGAACCACGGAGCUUGGAGAACUAUGUGUGUGUAUGUGGUGAGCCCAUAUCCCUACGUGUGUGGUACUCAAACUUGCAAUCCUCCUGCCUCAGCCUCCUAGAGUGCUGGAAUGACUACCACACGUGGCCUGAGGAAGCAGCCAGACUUGGCUCUGCCACUUCCCUCAAUUUCCGAAGCUAAGCAUUGCAUAGUCUGACUUACGAGGCAGAUGUGAAGGGGUAGGAGAACCCCUGGUACAAGCAUGGAAAUCAGCCCCUCGGGUUCCACCGCCACCUCCCGCGCCCGCUGCCCACCCGCCCUCUGUGGCUCCAGACCUUGACCAGGCGUGUCCUGGCCAAGUGGCUCACGGGAAACGGCCAUUGUUGGCUGGGUCUAAAGAUGUAGGCACCGGAGGCCUGACUGCUCCGCUUGUCUCCCACACUGGCGUUGUACCUGUGGCCGACACAGAUGAGUCAGGGGAGGCCUGGCGAUGGCCCCACCCCACCGGGCAGUCUCCGCUUACCAGAAGAAGGCCUGGUUCACGGGCAGCGUGAGCUUCCGGUCCAGGACCUCGAUCAUGCUCAACAAGCCCGUGUCAGGGUGGAAGGAAGCCCGCAGGUACUGUGCAGGAAGAGAGCCAGCUGUCACUCCCCGGGGCUGUGCCAACAGUCACCUCACACUGGGUCCCCUUGUACUGAACCUAUGACGACGCAGCAGCUUCUCAUCCCCGUGGUCCCUGCAGAGCCACCCGGUCACUCCCUUCUGUGCUCAUCUCCUAUGACCUGCUCGCCUCACCCCAGCCGGAAUGCAGCUGCUUCACCUGUGGUCAAAGCCUCCACCAGCCUGUGUGGAGGUGUGUACCCCUAAUCCCAGCACUUGGAGAGGCAAGGCAGGAGGGUCUUUGUGAAUUCCAGGCCUAGGCUACACAGUGAGACCUUGUCUCUAAAAACCAAAAAAAGGUGUCACAGCCCCAUCUACUCAGGGCCAAGUGGGCACUGAACACAAAAGCUACUGUGCCAGGAUCCAAGAGAUUUUUAGGAGUCCAAGGAAAUGUUUUCAUUUCUUUUAGAAUCAUAUUUUUACAAACUGACUGACUACCCAGGCAUGAUGGUACAUGCCUAUGAUACAGGGACUUGGGAGGCUGAGGCAGGAGGAUUGUUGCAAAUUCAAGAGCAGCCUGGGCUACAAAGUGAGCUCAAUAAAUAAAUAAAUAAUAAAAUAAGAUAACAAAGUGAGCUCAAGGCCAGCCUAAACUGCAUGGUGAGAACCUGUCUCAAAAAGACGACAUCAAAAAAAGUUGACCGGAACAAUAAUGACUAUAUUAAAAUAAGAUUUGCCUGGAUUGUAUUUAUCACAACUUUUUUUUUUGAGACAAGGGCUUCCUAAGUGGUUCAGGUUGACCUUAACCUCAUUAUAUACCCAAAACUGAUCUCAAACUCAUGGCAAUCCUCUUGCCACAGCCUGCCAAACGCUAGGAUUAUAGGCAUGGACCACUCUAUCUAAUGAACAUCAUUUUAUUUUUAAUGGAAGAAAGCAUCCUGGCACGGUGGUGCAUACCUGUAAUCCCAGUGUUUCAGUCAGGGAGGCUGAGACUAAGAUCAGCCUAGGGCCACAUAAUGAGUUCUGGGCCAACCUGAACUACAUAGCAAGCCCUUGUCUAAAAAAGGCGAGGCGCAGGGGAAUAGUGGGGAGCCACCACGCAAAAGUAGUGAUCAACAGCCUUUAUUUUGGUGGGGCAGGGAUUUGGUGUAGGGCCAUAAACCCAGGACCUCAGGCACGCUUGGUAGAUAAGCUUUGUGCCACUGAGCUGUACCCCUAGGCCAUAUUUUGAUUUUUUGGGGUUUUUUUUUUUUUUUUUUGUCUUUUUUUGAGACGGGGUCUCGCUAUGCAGUUCAGGCUAGGUUGGUCUCGAACUCACAAUGAUCCUCCCACCUCAGCCUCCCAAGUGCUGGGAUUAUAGGCAUGAGCCACCACGCCUGGCUUAGUAGGCCAUGUUUUGAGACAGGGUGUUGCUAAAUUUCCCACGCUGGGCUCAAACUCACCCAUCCUCCUUUCUCAGCCUCUCAGGGUGCUAGCAUUACAGCUGUGUGCACCACCGUACCCAGCUUCCACAAUAAAAAAAGAUUAGGGGGGUAGUUUGAGGCAGGGUCUCACUAUGCAGCCUAGGCCUUAAAUUCACAGUGAUCCUCUUGCUUAAGUCUUCCAAGUGCUCGGACGACAGGUGUGUGCUACCAUGCCCAGCUUCUGUAAACAUUUUAAUGCAAUCCUGUCCCAUCUGUGGCUCUUCGGAGUAAGAUGUGAAGUCUUCUUCUUGGUCCUCAAAGCUUUCACAAUCUGAAAAUUUCUAGCCACCUCAAAAUAGCUAAAUCUUGGAAGUAGCUCAUAUGUCCAUCAGCAGAUGAGAGGAUGCAGAAAAUGUGACAUUUACACACAAUACAGCACGACUCUGCCAUAAAGAAGGACAGAUGUGAGUCAUUCAAGAAGAUGGAUGCACCUUGAAAGCAUAACAUUAAGUGAAAUAAGUCAGACACAUACACUUAAACAUCAUGUGGUUUCUCUUACAUGAGACAUCCAAAGUAUAAAUAAAGAGCAAAAUAAAAGGUAGCUAACAGAAAAAAGUAACAUGGAUCUUUUGUAAAAGGGAGAGGAGAGGAAGGGGAAGAAAAGAAUUAAGGUAUGAGUAUCAGGUUCGAAAGUUUAGGCAUCAGCUGUGAAGAUAAUGAGAUUCAUUAUGACGCCCAUUCUCGUUGACUUUUAUCUACUUUUGAAGACCUACAAUGUCUCCAAUGUUUUGGUUUUGUCGGUUUUGAUCUUUACUGUUUUGUUCAAUUUUAUUAUAACUGAUGAUAUAGGCAAUUCUAUUAGAGAUAGCGGGAGGCAUUAUGGUAACCAUUGUUGAUCACCUUGUAUUAUGUUUUUAUAUUAUCUAUUAUGUCCACCCUUUUGACUUGACCGAUUCUGUUCUGUUAUGUCUCAUUUGGUUUUACUCUCUUCCAAAAAAGCAAUAAGAACCGUGGGAGCAAUGAAACCCAAAAUGUGUAAUAGUCAUUGUACAAAAGAGAGGAAAAGAAAGUGCUCUAAACUAUAUAACUGCAUGUAUAUUUAAGUGUAUAAGAUAGAAAAUGAUAUCACAGAGUUUUAUUGGAUCAUUGAACAGAACUGUUUGCAGUAUCAUUGUUGGAAUGUCCACUCUACAAGCUUUAAUUUUGUGACUUGAACAAUUAUUUCUAAGAUGGCAAUAUGUAAUCCAUUAACUAAUGAUUUCCUACUGUUCAUUUUUUUCUUCUGUAAAUCUGUAUAACUUGUACCCUUUCACUGUUUUUUUUUUCUUUUCUCCUUAAAAAAAAAAAAAAAGAAUUAAGGUAUGUUAGGUACA